UGCGUAGGUGGCCUGACAAGUCAGGGGUCAAAGGCAACGGCUCAACCGUUGUAAGCCCUUGAAACUGUCGGGCUUGAGUUCAGGAGAGGAAAGCGGGAUUCCUAGUGUAGCGGUGAAAUGCGUAGAUAUUAGGAGGAACACCAGUGGCGAAGGCGGCUUUCUGGACUGAUACUGACACUGAGGCACGAAAGCGUGGGGAGCAAACA
rnacentral:rRNA from 1 species